AAGGAUAAUAUACGGAAUAUCACCAUAGGUGAUAGACGGAUUAACGUGACAUAUUGUAUUCAGUUUUGAAUGCUCAUUCAUUGAGGAUUCAACAUUGUACAUUGAAAACUAGAUAAGUAAGUAAUAGAUUUUACCAAGCAAAACCGAGUAACAAGCGAAAAGCUUGAAACAAACAAUUAUCGCUAGUCGUCAACAGACGACUCACAUAAUUAAUAACUGGUGAUGAUAAGUGUGAAAGCAUUGAYAAGACAAAUGUGAUUGCGUCRUUGACGUGAUGAAAGCGUUUGUCAGUCAGMGAAUUUCUUGAUGAGUGCAGCGAAGWUUACGUYUUGUAAAUGAGCAAGCGAAGAAAGAAAUGAGAUAGAAUGCGAGCGCUUAUUAGCACGUCUA
rnacentral:misc_RNA from 1 species